rnacentral:tRNA from 1 species
CUAAAGGAUAACAGCCCAUCCGUUGGUCUUAGGAACCAAAAACUCUUGGUGCAAA